ACCUGACUGGCUCAGUCAGUGGAGGAUGUGGCUGUUGAUCUUGAGGUUGUGAGUUCAAGCCUCGUGUUAGGUG
rnacentral:tRNA from 1 species